AAUGCAGUCGGGCAGAGAAACAAUUGAUGUCCAGAGGAGACCCUUGUUACCGGCCUUCGAGGAUAGGUCAAUGCCUCCUUCUACUACAUUCCCUGGAAAAAUGGAGCGAAACAAUGCAUUCUGGACUCCACCUCGGGGCGGCCAUGUGGUCGGCCAGCUGCUGCAGAGGCUGUCCCCAGGGAAGGGACCUCCAGUCCCUCCAGGCCCGGGCGAUAGUUCCUGGCAUCCAGGUCCUCCAGGGGCCAACCACAGAAACCAGGGACCCACUUGGCAUAUCAACAGGAAGCCUUGUUAUCGCCAUGCUUGUGGGCAUGCGCCCGUAUGCACACCCACAGCCCCCCAAACAGAACAAAAGCAAAACCAAAAGGUGAUGAAAGAAGCAAUGAGAAAAGGUUGGGGAGGGGGGGCAAAGAAAGGGACAAACAAAUGUGUUUGCGGGCCAUAUCAAGCCCGUGAGUUCCCAAUUCCCAAAGCUCUUCCCCAUUUUAGAGACGAGUACGCUGAGAGGCAACAGCGUGCCCAAAGUCACCAGGAGUUAGUGCGUGGUCCAGGAUGAAGUUUCUGGUUUUCUGGCCCAGAGUCUCCCCUCUGUUUUGUCCUUGAGGCCGAGGGUCUGCAGGCUCCAGGGGCAGGACCUCUCAGGAGAGGAACAAGGGCCACCUGCCUCCCCGGCAACCCCCACCCCCACCUUUUCCCAGGAACCCUUUGUGACAGGGGGUGCCCAGUACUCGCGCAUCAGGUAGCUGAUGCUGUCACCCCAGGAGGGGGCCAGAGAUGAGGGACUGGGGCUAUCACGUGAAUACGGGGAUCCGGGUAGACAGAGGCUUCUCUGAAAUUGAACGUUCAUGGGGAAGGAGGACCGAGGUCAGCUUUGGAGCUAUAGACCAAUCUGGGUUGGAAUGCGAGCUCUUUUCCUUCUAAGGCAGAAGCUGAAAUAGAAAAAAAAAAAAAAUUAAGGCAAACACGACAUUGCCGCUCUAAGUGGAGAAGCCGUCUUGCUGGUCAUGAACUGAAGUCACUGGUGAGAAUAAUCACAACCCAAAGCCAAUGGGGUGUUAAAUCCUGGCUGGGAAGGACCUGGGCACAGAGGCGGCUCUCUCCUUGUGCGAGAAGAAAAAGCAUCAGGGAAGCAUUCGGACCAAUGCCAAAUCAAGACUCGCUCCCUGGUAGGACCAGGAGGGCAUAAGGGGUUAACUUGGGAGUCAUUUCCAUCCUCCGUGAUUCAUUUAAUGCCUCGAGUAAUUCAGAAAGUGAUGCUGGGGGGUCCCCACCCCAUCUCCGUGAGGCUCACACACCAGGACAGGGCGCCUGGGUGAUCCUGUCGGUCCCUCCUGCUGAGGCUGUCAGGAAUCUAGAAGGGCCGGCAGGGCUGGGACAUCGCAGCCGAAUGGGAAGGAAGACAAAGAGAGACCGAGCAUGAGCAGGGGAGGAGCAGAGAGAGACGAAGACACAGAAUCGGAAGC